rnacentral:rRNA from 1 species
UACGAAGGGGGCAAGCGUUGUUCGGAAUUACUGGGCGUAAAGGGCGCGUAGGCGGCCGAUCAAGUCAGGCGUGAAAUUCCCGGGCUCAACCUGGGGGCUGCGCUUGAUACUGAUUGGCUUGAAUGCGGGAGAGGAUAGUGGAAUUCCCAGUGUAGAGGUGAAAUUCGUAGAUAUUGGGAAGAACACCGGUGGCGAAGGCGGCACUCUGGGCCGGUACUGACGCUGAGGAGCGAAAGCGUGGGGAGCGAGCAGG